rnacentral:rRNA from 1 species
CCUACGGGAGGCAGCAGUGGGGAAUAUUGCACAAUGGGCGCAAGCCUGAUGCAGCGACGCCGCGUGAGGGAUGACGGCCUUCGGGUUGUAAACCUCUUUCAGUAGGGAAGAAGCGAAAGUGACGGUACCUGCAGAAGAAGCGCCGGCUAACUACGUGCCAGCAGCCGCGGUAAUACGUAGGGCGCAAGCGUUAUCCGGAAUUAUUGGGCGUAAAGAGCUCGUAGGCGGUUUGUCGCGUCUGCCGUGAAAGUCCGGGGCUCAACUCCGGAUCUGCGGUGGGUACGGGCAGACUAGAGUGAUGUAGGGGAGACUGGAAUUCCUGGUGUAGCGGUGAAAUGCGCAGAUAUCAGGAGGAACACCGAUGGCGAAGGCAGGUCUCUGGGCAUUAACUGACGCUGAGGAGCGAAAGCAUGGGGAGCGAACAGGAUUAGAUACCCUGGUAGUCCAUGCCGUAAACGUUGGGCACUAGGUGUGGGGGACAUUCCACGUUUUCCGCGCCGUAGCUAACGCAUUAAGUGCCCCGCCUGGGGAGGUACGGCCGCGAGACGUAAACUACAANAGAGUUAGACGGCGUGAGACGUGCCGACGGACGACCGACCGAGGGGAGGUUAGG